rnacentral:rRNA from 1 species
UACGUAGGGUGCAAGCGUUGCCCGGAUUUAUUGGGCGUAAAGCGCGCGCAGGCGGAUCUGUGCGUCCCGCGUGAAAUCGCCCGGCUCAACCGGGCGGGGUCGCGGGAUACGGCGGAUCUGGAGCAAGGGAGGGGGCAGUGGAAUUCCCGGUGUAGUGGUGGAAUGCGUAGAUAUCGGGAGGAACACCAGUGGCGAAGGCGACUUCCUGGCCUGUUCUUGACGCUGAGGCGCGAAAGCUAGGGUAGCAAACGGG